rnacentral:rRNA from 1 species
UCCCGCCUGCCCGGUGACUUGUUAAACGGCCGCGGUAUUUUGACCGUGCGAAGGUAGCGCAAUCACUUGUCUUUUAAAUGAAGACCCGUAUGAAUGGCAUAACGAGGGCCAAGCUGUCUCCUUUUUCCAGUCAAUGAAAUUGAUUUCCCCGUGCAGAAGCGAGGAUAAAGACAUAAGACGAGAAGACCCUAUGAAGCUUUAGACAAAAGGCAGCCCACCUAAAAGCCCAAACUCACCGCCGCUAAUAAAAAGGCCCCUGCCCUCCUGUCUUUGGUUGGGGCGACCGCGGGGAAAUAAAAAUCCCCCAUGUGGAAUGGAAAUUCCAAAACAAGAGCCACCACUCUAAGUACCAGAACAUCUGACCACAAGACCCGGCACAGCCGAUCAACGGAACGAGUUACUCUAGGGAUAACAGCGCAAUCCCCUUCUAGAGUCCAUAUCGACAAGGGGGUUUACGACCUCGAUGUUGGAUCAGGACAUCCUAAUGGUGCAGCAGCUAUUAAGGGUUCGUUUGUUCAACGAUUAAAGUCCUACGUGAUCUGAGUUCAAACCG